GCCUAGUUAGCUUAGUUGGUAGUGCGUCUGCCUUGUAAGCGCUAGGCCGCGGGUUCGAUUCCCGCCGGGGGCG
rfam:Asian citrus Psyllid, Diaphorina citri - Florida Strain, whole genome shotgun sequence.